AACCAGCUCUUCAAGUGGUCGGGAUGAUUAUUGGGCUUAAAGUGUUCGUAGCCGGUUUAGUAAGUUCCUGGUGAAAUCAGGUAGCUUAACUAUCUGUAUGCUAGGAAUACUACUAUACUAGAGGGCGGGAGAGGUCUGAGGUACUAUAGGGGUAGGGGUGAAAUCUUAUAAUCCUUGUAGGACCACCAGUGGCGAAGGCGUCAGACUGGAACGUGCCUGACGGUGAGGGACGAAAGCCAGGGGAGCGAACCGGAUUAGAUACCCGGGUAGUCCUGGCCGUAAACGAUGCAUACUAGGUGAUGGCCCGGCCAUGAGCCGUGUCAGUGCCGUAGGGAAACCGUUAAGUGUGCCGCCUGGGAAGUACGGUCGCAAGGCUAAAAUUUAAAGGAAUUGGCGGGGAGCACCACAAGGGGUGAAGCCUGCGGUUC
rnacentral:rRNA from 1 species